rnacentral:ncRNA from 2 species
CAGCAUGCGCUUAGUGACGGUUCCCCUUCGGGGGAAGCAAUAGGGAACAGGGAACGCACGGAACGGUCAUCCGGAUCCGGACGAAGCCCUGGCUGCCCCCGCAACUGUAAGCGGAGAGCACACGCCUGAUAAAUGGCCACUGGGAAACUGGGAAGGCCGGGCAUGUGUUUUGACCCGUGAGCCAGGAGACCUGCCGCCGCCAGUAUCGCCCG